GUGGGGAAUCUUAGACAAUGGGGGAAACCCUGAUCUAGCCAUGCCGCGUGAUCGAUGAAGGCCUUAGGGUUGUAAAGAUCUUUCGCUGGGGAAGAUAAUGACUGUACCCAGUAAAGAAGCCCCGGCUAACUCCGUGCCAGCAGCCGCGGUAAUACGGAGGGGGCUAGCGUUAUUCGGAAUUACUGGGCGUAAAGCGCACGUAGGCGGACCAGAAAGUUGGGGGUGAAAUCCCGGGGCUCAACCUCGGAACUGCCUUCAAAACUCCUGGUCUUGAGUUCGAGAGAGGUGAGUGGAAUUCCGAGUAUAGAGGUGAAAUUCGUAGAUAUUCGGAGGAACACCAGUGGCGAAGGCGGCUCACUGGCUCGAUACUGACGCUGAGGUGCGAAAGCGUGGGGAGCAAACAGGAUUAGAAACCCCUGUAGUCC
rnacentral:rRNA from 1 species